rnacentral:rRNA from 1 species
CCUACGGGAGGCUGCAGUAGGGAAUAUUGCUCAAUGGGGGAAACCCUGAAGCAGCAACGCCGCGUGGAGGAUGAAGGUUUUCGGAUUGUAAACUCCUUUUGUUAGAGAAGAUAAUGACGGUAUCUAACGAAUAAGCACCGGCUAACUCCGUGCCAGCAGCCGCGGUAAUACGGAGGGUGCAAGCGUUACUCGGAAUCACUGGGCGGAAAGAGCGCGGAGGCGGGAUAGCAAGUCAGAUGUGAAAUCCUAUGGCUUAACCAUAGAACUGCAUUUGAAACUGUUAUUCUAGAGUAUGGGAGAGGUAGGUGGAAUUCUUGGUGUAGGGGUAAAAUCCGUAGAGAUCAAGAGGAAUACUCAUGGCGAAGGCGACCUGCUAGAACAUAACUGACGCUGAUGCGCGAAAGCGUGGGGAGCAAACAGGAUUAGAUACCCGAGUAGUC